CCUACGGGUGGCAGCAGUGAGGAAUAUUGGUCAAUGGACUUACGCCUGAACCAGCCAAGUCGCGUGAAGGAUGAAGGUUCUAUGGAUCGUAAACCUCUUUUAUAAGGGAAUAAAGUGUGGGACGUGUCCUAUUUUGUAUGUACCUUAUGAAUAAGGAUCGGCUAACUCCGUGCCAGCAGCCGCGGUAAUACGGAGGAUCCGAGCGUUAUCCGGAUUUAUUGGGUUUAAAGGGUGCGUAGGCGGGUUGUUAAGUCAGCGGUGAAAGUCUGUGGCUCAACCAUAUAAUUGCAGUUGAAACUGGGGGGCUUGAGUACGUUUGAGGCAGGCGGAAUGCGUGGUGUAGCGGUGAAAUGCUUAGAUAUCACGCAGAACCCCGAUUGCGAAGGCAGCCUGCCAAGCCAUGACUGACGCUGAGGCACGAAAGUGUGGGGAUCAAACAGGAUUAGAUACCCGAGUAGUC
rnacentral:rRNA from 1 species